UCUGUUCUUCUUGAAUCGUCUGUUCAUCAGAUUGACGACUUGUCGUUCUAGAAUAAAUAUAGAUUUUUCUUUGAAUUUUUUCAGUUCAACCCCGAUUCCGCAAAUGUCGUUCACCCAAAAUGACUAUUGGCUUGCAAACGACAGACAAAAACGACUCGUUGUUGAAAUUCUAAAUACCAAUUCGCGAAUUACUUCCUCUGAUCCUCUUUGUCGUUAUAAAAAAUUAAUAGAAUGGUCGCUCACAAACAACAGAGAGAAUGGACAUGUCAUUGCAAUAUGGUUUGAGGAAUAAACAUUAAGCAAAGGAAACCAACAAAAAUAUUAAUCUCUCGAAUAUUUAAGAAACAAUCGUGAUUAAAAAAACGAUGUUGAAUUGCAGCCAACACAGAAAUCCAGAGGAGUAAAAGAAGAGAGAGAGUUAGAAAGUGCAAAUCUAGAAAAGAACCAAGCUCGAUCGGUUCAUUUUACCUUUUUAUGAUUGAUAUCCAGACUUCAUCAUCUCUCACGUUUCUGGUUUCUGAUGAAAAUGUUACAUACCUUCUUUUUCGGAGCCAUGGCGACGAUUUUGAGAGCCUGUCUAAAAGGAAAUGAGCGGUCAAAGCGAGAGUUGGAAGAGAAGGAGCGGCGUUGGAGUCCUCGAAGAAAAGCAGGUGAGGAUGGUUGUGCUGUGACCGCCAUUGAUGGAUAAUGGAGCCAGAACAAGAGUGAAACGGAGAGAUCGAGGGAGAAAGGAUUGGAUGGUUUUUCUGUUGAUGAUGCGACUGCCACGUUGGAUAGUGUCUGUAAUCUCCAAGUCCACCAAUCGUAUUGAUGAUGGGCUUCAUGGCUUUAUCCAUCUGGGACAUCUUUCUUUUAUCAUCCUUUUGUUUUUCUUUUAGAAAAAUCAAACUAUAUGAUUCUUUAACUGUGUGAAAAUUACGUUGCUACAUUUUAUUUUUGGUUAACAAAAUCUUUGUUUUAUUA